CUCUUGUCCACUUCCCAUUGCUCUGAGCGAGGGGGCGAACGUAAUGUCCAGCGGCUGUUUUUAAGGCAAAAAGUGGCUCAAGGGGGCCACCUGGCCUGACACGAGGAGGGGAUGAGACAGGCUGCCGAGGACACGGGGACCUGGUCUCUAGGGUCUGAUGGUGCGGUGUGUUUCUCCUUCCUCCUGCUGGAUGGCUCCAGGAACUAGGAGGAGGGGAAUCUGAGGCAGGUGGAACACGGGAGACCCCGGCCAUGAGCUGCCCUCAUCAAGAUCCGACAUUCAAGACAUGAAGGCCUAAAGGAAGUGGUGGGAACCCAAAAGUUCUUUAUUGAUUUAUUUGUGAACCAGUUUCCCAGAAGACCCUGGGGCACAUGAGUCAGGUGCAAAGACGCAAAGUCUCCUCGACAUCCUUUACGGGUCUGAGCUCGUCAGCCAAGACCAUCAGGCCUUGGAAGGAGUCCAGCUGGGCACGCCGCCGCCAGUCGUACCAAAUGGCCACUGUGCCGUUAUUGACCGUGGUCAGUUCCGAAGAUGUCUUCUCCCCUUCUAGAGUUUCAAAGGUCAAGCGGACGGCAAUUCCGACGUGCUUCUAGGGAAGGAGGAGGAAGGAAGUUUGGUCCAGGAGAGUGCACUGGUAAAAGCAGCAUUUCAGAGUGAUUCAUCCAAUAAGGGCUUGAAAUCUUUCAAAAUGGAAUGUACAGUGGAGGAAGGAGCCCUCAGCCCUACACUAAGGCUCGAGUCCCCAAAUCAGGAUUCUACCCUCCAGGGAAGGAGGCUGGACAAAAGAGAAGACCAAGGUCAAGGCGGGCUCACUGGGUUUGUUCGGCUGUUUAAAUAAAACCAGGCAAAUGUUUCUGUAGGUAAAAGGCCAGGGGAAAAUUACCAGGCUCUGGGUGUUUCCUGAAUUCUUCUCCCCUCCCUUUCCCUGCUUAGCUCCCCCCACCUUCAUUCUCUCGAGGCAAGGGCUGUAGAGGGGAAGGGAGCAGGGGACGCAGGAAGGUCUGUGAGGCUCUAGCACCCCAGACAUAACCUGGUUGCCCAAAGAGAAAGAGUAAGGCCUGCUCUGAUCCUUCCCAUGGUCCUCAGAGUCCUGCAGGCCACUGCACUGGAUGGAGGCACGGGUCCACCAGCACAUGUCAGGCUCUCUCUGUCCCUGCCCUAUGUCGUAGGGGCUAGAAGCCUGAGAGCUAGAGUUCUCAGAAUCUCUUGCCAGCCAGGAUUUGCUUUAGAGCCCACUAACGAGAGGCACUUGCAGAAACCAUUACUCCUUCUCUGGUGGUGGUGGGUGGCCCUGAUUCAAGUUCCCAAACCAGAAAUGUCCUCGCAUGCACCUCGCUGUUGCCAUGCCCCUGAGGAUGCCAAGGCUGAGCGGUGACUGGUGCUGAGAUGGCAGCUGCCAGUGGAAAGCGUC